UACGAAGGGGGCUAGCGUUGCUCGGAAUUACUGGGCGUAAAGGGCGCGUAGGCGGAUCGUUAAGUUAGAGGUGAAAGCCCAGGGCUCAACCUUGGAACUGCCUUUGAUACUGGCGAUCUGGAGUACGGGAGAGGUGUGUGGAACUCCGAGUGUAGAGGUGAAAUUCGUAGAUAUUCGGAAGAACACCAGUGGCGAAGGCGACACACUGGCCCGUUACUGACGCUGAGGCGCGAAAGCGUGGGGAGCAAACAGGAUUAGAUACCCUGGUAGUCCACGCCGUAAACGAUGAGUGCUAGUUGUCGGCAUGCAUGCAUGUCGGUGACGCAGCUAACGCAUUAAGCACUCCGCCUGGGGAGUACGGUCGCAAGAUUA
rnacentral:rRNA from 1 species